CAAACUGGAGAUGGCGACCGGCGCACGGGUGAGUAACACGUAUCCAACUUGCCGAUAACUCGGGGAUAGCCUUUCGAAAGAAAGAUUAAUACCGGAUGGCAUACGAAUAUCGCAUGAUAUUUUUAUUAAAGAAUUUCGGUUAUCGAUGGGGAUGCGUUCCAUUAGUUUGUUGGCGGGGUAACGGCCCACCAAGACUACGAUGGAUAGGGGUUCUGAGAGGAAGGUCCCCCACAUUGGAACUGAGACACGGUCCAAACUCCUACGGGAGGCAGCAUG
rnacentral:rRNA from 1 species